UAGGGAAUCUUCCGCAAUGGGCGAAAGCCUGACGGAGCAACGCCGCGUGAGUGAUGAAGGUCUUCGGAUCGUAAAACUCUGUUAUUAGGGAAGAACAAAUGUGUAAGUAACUAUGCACGUCUUGACGGUACCUAAUCAGAAAGCCACGGCUAACUACGUGCCAGCAGCCGCGGUAAUACGUAGGUGGCAAGCGUUAUCCGGAAUUAUUGGGCGUAAAGCGCGCGUAGGCGGUUUUUUAAGUCUGAUGUGAAAGCCCACGGCUCAACCGUGGAGGGUCAUUGGAAACUGGAAAACUUGAGUGCAGAAGAGGAAAGUGGAAUUCCAUGUGUAGCAGUGAAAUGCGCAGAGAUAUGGAGGAACACCAGUGGCGAAGGCGACUUUCUGGUCUGUAACUGACGCCGAUGUGCGAAAGCGGGGGGAUCAAACAGG
rnacentral:rRNA from 1 species